UGCUUCUCAUGAGCUCCUCUCUGUCAAUCCAGUGACGGUGUAUGGAUUCGCACGAGAAGUAGAUUAAAAUUCGCAGUAAAACCGGUGUUUCCAUUAUAUUGGAACAUACCCAUGUCUGAUGUGAGACACUU